rnacentral:rRNA from 1 species
UACGUAGGGGGCAAGCGUUGUCCGGAUUCAUUGGGCGUAAAGAGCGUGUAGGCGGCCAGGUAGGUCGGUUGUGAAAACUGGAGGCUCAACCUUCAGAGGUCGACCGAAACCAUCUGGCUAGAGUCCGGGAGAGGAGGAGUGGAAUUCCUGGUGUAGCGGUGAAAUGCGCAGAUAUCAGGAAGAACACCCGUGGCGAAAGCGGCUCUCUGGAACGGUACUGACGCUGAGACGCGAAAGCGUGGGGGAGCGAACAGG